CUCUGACUCACCCAGGAAAAAGCACUUGAAUUAAGAUGCAACUCAGAAAAGCCUGAAGAAGUCCAUUCAUCCUCCAGGAUCUCACACCUUCACUGUGGGGGAGUGAAAUGCAAGGCUAGGAACAUGGGGACAGUGGUGAGAGCAGAUGCCUGUAGAGACCAGAAGAAGUCUUCAAAUCCCUUGAAGCUGGAGAUACAGGCAGUUGUGAACUGUGCUAAGUGUAGGUGCUAAGAACUGAAUUCAGGGUGUUGUACUGACCUGGAACUUGCCAAGCAGGCUGUGCUCGCCCACUAAGUAAACCCCACAGAUAUCUCUGUCUCUGCCUCCGCAGCACUGGGAUUAGAAGCUCAGGAGACUGUGCCUGGGGUCCUGCCUCCAGCACUCCCCUCUUCACACAGGAAAUGACUAAGCAGCACAGUGUCUGUCUCAUGUAUGUAUAAGUUACUUUUCCUGCCUGUGUGUCCAAAUAAAGCAUACACAGAGGUAAAGGGCUUAUUUUGACUCACAGUUUUGGGGGAGGGUGACAGUCCAUUACAGUUGGGAAGGCAUGGCCGCAGG
rnacentral:lncRNA from 1 species